UUCAUAAAAUGUGUUUCCUUCCCUCCUUCCCUGCAACCCACCACACCAUCACGAUACCUCUUCAUUCUCUGCUCCAUGUGGUCCUGCUGGCAUCCAGCCCUGCAAGGUUUCCCCCAUAAACCUUGGUUUCCACUAAGUCAACAGCAGAAAAGAACUCCAGAUAAAUCCACUAAAUAUCACGUUUUAAACAUCUCUCAAAACUAUCAUUUAUAUGCCUAUUUCUACUGUAAGAGAAAACCUUCAUCUAGAAAAAUAACAAAGGAAACACUAAUCAUUUCAUUUAAUUUUCUUUAGCCUUCUAUUAGAGACUUUGAUGGGAUUGCUAGUGGCAAACUUACUUUGAUUUAGCUACAGUUCAAUAAAUGAUAGCUACAAUAACCUUGGCUCCAAGUGAACUACCUGAACUCUGAUUCAGGAGCUGAUGCAAGGAAACCAGAAAGUAGCCUAGUUAUCUGUACUUUCCUUAACUGAAAGCCACAAUUCUGUGCCAUAGAAUAAAUACCUUUCAAUCCUAGGCUACGAAAUCCUUAAAGAGAUGGCAUUUAAAAAAAAUCACACAAAGAUAUACAAUAUGAUUAUCACUAUAGAUAUACAAUAUGAUUAUAAUAUAUAUCAUAUCAUUACAUUAUAUAUCAUAUCAUUAUAUACACUUAUUUAUAUAUAUACUAUAUCUUUUAAGAUUUUUCAGGCCUAAGCAAAUACUGAACAUCAAUAGCUUGUUAAAAUGUCAAAAGUUAGAAUUCUCCUUUUCAUUUCAUCUCUUUGAGGUACCAAAGAAAAUGUCCAAUUUGACAGACAACCUAUGUAUUAAAUAUAAAAAAUGACAUUCUUCCAUUUUAUCCUCAGAUAAAAGCCCAACACUACAGUAAAAGUUAUUUCUGGUCCUGCACUGAUACUCAACUUUUACCCACAUGAUCUGCAGAAACUGAAUUCAACAAUGUUCCCUCUUUGUCCACUCAACAAGUAAACAAGUGAGUGCAAAAAUGCUUACUUUUCUCUGACAAACAUUUACUGGGUUUCUUGAAGGUGCGAGGCCCUGGGGACAAAAAGGUAAACCCAUUGCUUUUUGCCCUCAAGGCUUCCCAAGGCAGCUCCUGGUCUACAGACAUGGAAAUAAGUAACGUAUUUGUGUAACUAUCAUCACCUAAAACCCAAUGCUAUAAAUCCUACCAUGGAAACAGGAGGAAAGCGCUGUGAGAACACAGAGAAGGAACAAUAAAUUCUGCUCAGAAUUGAAAACGCUGGAACAGUUCUACUUCCUCACCAUUCCGUCUUGGGGAUCAGCCUAAAUCUGGAAGAUGAUAUGAAGUCCAAUCUUACUGGAAUGGUUUCUCCAGAUGAGAGCUGUUCAUGCUGACUCCAGAAAUCAGAGAAAAGUAUAUCUGCUCCCAGGGCUGGUACAAAUCCCAUUAACUACCGUUGCUAUCAAAGGCUUUACUGGAUAAUCUGUGGUGCCAUUUUAUGGUUUGUAUCUCUCCUCUUAGGACACAUGUUAGAGAGAGAGAGGAAUCACAGAAUCUCACAUUUACAAUAAGCCUUAGAAAUCAUUUAGUCCUAUCUCCUGUCUGGUCAUCAAAUUCCCCCAGGUCCAUGCCUGCCCAGAAUUCACUAUCUCUCUCCCAAGAACAGUCUGUGCUACUGUCAGGCAACUCGAACCCUUAGAAAAGUUUCCUUGAACUAAAACAAGAACCCUUCCAUUGGUUCAGCAGAAAAACAUAUGCAAUGCCAACAAUAUGACUCAUGCUAGUUGGUUUUAUAUAAAGAUGAAUAAACUGGGACACCCCACCCCCUUGGCAAAGAACACACAGAAAUUUUUUUUAAUUAAAUAUCAAACUUCUUUUGGAUACUGUGUAUGAAAGAGACAGGGAAAAGCUGACCAAUUAAAAAGCCCAGGAUG